CCACUGUGACGUAACACGUCAGAAAACGUCAUAGACACCGCCCACUCGGCGAACUGUCUCCGAGCGGAGCCGGGCUGGAUUGGAUUGGACCCCUGGGCGGGAAAGGACGGACGGGUUAAGUAGCCAAUCACCAAUUGCGCUCCAGCCAGAGGGGCGAUGUUCUUGGGGAGCCUGGGGAUCUGGAAGAAGUUCAGUGUGAGGACGAGUGUUAGGAAAUAAGGCUGAAGACAGAGGCAACCCUGGAGGAUCUUCUAACCCAUGUCAAGCAGUUGAGAAUUUAUGGAGUGAAAUAGCAAGCCAUUGAAGAGUUUCAAGCUUUCAUCCAGCUUUUAAGGGAAACUAAUAUCUCAUGAAAUUGUGAGGGCCUGGAAUCUUCAAAGAGCCAAGGAUUCUGCCAGACUGAGCAAUAGACUUGAUGAGCAUUCUCCACUUAAGAUCUGAACUAUGAGAAGUCGAAUCAAAGCAGUUCUUUUGUAAUUCCAAACAGCCAUUUAGACAUAUGAAGAAAUGAAAGUAAAGCAGUUCUAAAGACAAGGAAGAGGGUCAAUGAAAGGUGCUCCCAAUGCAAUCACAAAGAUCUUUAAAAGUGGAAGAAGGUGGGAGAGGUCAGAGUGAUACGAAGAGAACUCAGUCUACCACUGCUGGCUUUGAAGAUGGAAGAAUGGGGCUAUGAGCCCUGGAUUGCGGGCAGCCUGCAGAAGCUGGGGCAGAGAUUCCACACAGGCACCUCUAGAAAAUAAUGCAGCCAGCCAAUCCUUAGACUUUAUCCCAGUGAGAGUCAAGUUGGACUUCUGACCUACAAAAGAGUAAAUAUCUAAAUUAUCUGUGGCAACAACUUGGUGGGGUCAACUCGAAUGUUUUUGUCGGCUGUUCUUGAAGACUUCUGGGUCUCUACAACCACAUUCUUUGGCUGGUGCCAGUGUUUAAGCACUCUGAAACUGCAUAGCAGCAUGUUUGAAGGUGGCCUGUCAAAUUUGGGAAACUGACGGUGUGACUGAGCUAGUCACAGGGGUCUUCACAGAAAAGGCAGUCGGGGUCCUGGUCAACUGGAGAUUCCAUCUGAAUGUGAAUGGAUUUAAAAGGUGACUGGAACACUUCUUUCUGACCUCAGAGAUGUGAUGGAUGUCCGGGAAGAUUUUCUCAAGGGCUAGAAAGUGAAGUCAUUAAGACUAGAGCUCCAGGCUUCUUCAUCCAACUCCAAGGGUUCCCAGCAACAUGUGAAGUCCUCUAUCUGUCACUAAGAAGCCGUGUGAGUGAAGCAGGCUAUAUACCUUGGUUUCAACAUCUGUGAACAAGAGCUUGGUGGCCUUCUACAAAUGUUUGUGGAAUGAAUAAGUGAGAGAAUGAGAGAUUAAUAAAGCCAAUACUAUCACCAGUCCAACGAAGAGCUGCAACUGAAAAAAAAGUCUGACAAAGUAUGAUGUACAUUGAAAAUGAAAAGAAACCAUUCUAUUCUUCGUGAAGUUAGACCUGGAUAGCUAUGUAUAGCUCUGCUCUCUGCAAUUUAAGAGAAAUAAUCUGGAAAUGCAGAAGAAAUAGGGAAAAGCACUUGUAACGUGCAGUUUUAUGUGUCAACUUGGGUAGGCCAUAAUACCCAGUUAUUUAGUCAAACACUAAUCUAGGUGCAGCUGUGAAGGCACUUUGUAGACGUGUUUAACAUCUAAAAUAAGCUCACAUUAAGUAAGAGAUUAUCCUCAAUAAUGUGGGUGGGCCUCACUGAAUCAAUUGGAAGUCCUGAGAGCAAAAACUGAGGUUUGCCAGGGAAGAAGAAAUUUGACCUCAAAACUGCAACAUAGAAAUCCUGACUAAGCUUCCAGGCUGCUGGCUUGCCCUACAAAUUUCAGAUAUACCAGGCCCCAAUCUUACGAACCAAUUUCUUAAAAUAAAUCAUGUAUGCGUAUUCGUUAAUAUACACACUCAUAUAAAGAACACACAUAUGUGUACAUAUAUGUAUAUGUGUGUGUAUGUUCUAUUGGUUUCGUUUCUCUUGAGAGCCCUCGCUGAUAGAGAUUUUAGUACCAAGAAGUAGGGUGCUAUUGUGUAAAUAAAUAAAUAAAUAAAUAAAAAUAUGGAAGUAGCUUUGGAACUGAAUAAUGGAUAGAGGCUGGAAGAGUUUUUAGGUGCAUGAUAGAAAAAUCUUAGAUUGCUUUGAAGAGAUUCUAAUAGAAAUGUCAGAGGCGUUUGAACCAGAGCAACUCCAUCUUUAACAGGGGCUGGGUAAAAUGAGGCUGAGACCUACUGCGCUGCAUUCCCAGGAGGUUAGACAUUCUAAGUCACAGAAUGAGACAGGAGGUUGGCACAAGAUACAGGUCACAAAGACCUUGCUGAUGAAACAACUUCCAAUAAAGAAGCUGGCCAAAACCCACCAAAACCAAGAUGGUGACAAAAGUGACCUCUGGUGGUCCUCACUGCUCAUUAUACGCUAAUUAUAAUAUAUUAGCUUGCUAAAAGACACCCUCACCAGUGCCAUGACAAUUUACAGAUGCCAUGACAACAUCAGGAAGUUACCCUAUAUGGCCGAAAAGGGGAAGGAACCCCCAGUUCCAGGAAUUGCCCACCCCUUUCCCA
rnacentral:lncRNA from 10 species